rnacentral:tRNA from 1 species
GCAUCAAUGGCGGAACUGGUAGACGCGCACGCUUGAGGGGCGUGUGAAGCAAUUCGUGCAAGUUCAAAUCUUGUUUGGUGCACCA